rnacentral:rRNA from 1 species
UAUUUGAGUAGUGAGAGAUGUUCUUGAAACUUAAAGGUUUUGGCGGUUUCCUUGUACUCUUCAGAGGAACUUGUUCUUUAAUCGAUGCUCCUCGUGUAAUUUUACUUAAUUUAGGAUGGUUUGUAUAUCGCUGUUGAUGAUAUCUCUGUUGUGAGAUAUUGGCAGGUUUAGCACCUUUUAAAUCAAGUCAAGGUGCAGCUCAGUUAAGGUUGAAAUGAGUUACUAUGGGUUAUUGUGGAGGUUGCGGUGAAAUUGCAUCAUUGAGAUUGGAUUUGAAAGUAAUUUGGAAAAAGUGAGUUUAGAUGAAAUGAGUUUAAGGAAAUGU